rnacentral:rRNA from 1 species
CCAGACAGCCAGGAUGUUGGCUUAGAAGCAGCCAUCAUUUAAAGAAAGCGUAAUAGCUCACUGGUCGAGUCGGCCUGCGCGGAAGAUGUAACGGGGCUAAACCAUGCACCGAAGCUGCGGCAGCGACACUUAUGUGUUGUUGGGUAGGGGAGCGUUCUGUAAGCCUGUGAAGGUGUGCUGUGAGGCAUGCUGGAGGUAUCAGAAGUGCGAAUGCUGACAUAAGUAACGAUAAAGCGGGUGAAAAGCCCGCUCGCCGGAAGACCAAGGGUUCCUGUCCAACGUUAAUCGGGGCAGG